rnacentral:rRNA from 1 species
UAAGGAAUAUUGGACAAUGGAGGCAACUCUGAUCCAGCCAUGCCGCGUGAAGGAAUAAGGCCCUAUGGGUUGUAAACUUCUUUUAGACGGGACAAAACCCCUUUACGUGUAAAGGGUUGAUGGUACUGUCAGAAUAAGCAUCGGCUAACUUCGUGCCAGCAGCCGCGGUAAUACGAAGGAUGCAAGCGUUAUCCGGAAUUAUUGGGUUUAAAGGGUGCGUAGGCGGACUAAUAAGUCAGUGGUGAAAGCCUGCAGCUUAACUGCAGAAUUGCCAUUGAUACUGUUAUACUUGAGUACAGUUGAGGUAGGCGGAAUGUGUCAUGUAGCGGUGAAAUGCUUAGAUAUGACACAGAACACCGAUUGCGAAGGCAGCUUGCUAAGCUGUAACUGACGCUGAGGCACGAAAGCGUGGGGAGCAAACA